UACGGAGGGAGCUAGCGUUAUUCGGAAUUACUGGGCGUAAAGCGCACGUAGGCGGCUUUGUAAGUAAGAGGUGAAAGCCCAGAGCUCAACUCCAGAACUGCCUUCGAUACUGGCGAUCUUGAGUCCGGAAGAGGUGAGUGGAACUCCUAGUGUAGAGGUGGAAUUCGUAGAUAUUAGGAAGAACACCAGUGGCGAAGGCGGCUCACUGGUCCGGUACUGACGCUGAGGUGCGAAAAGCGUGGGGAGCAAACAGG
rnacentral:rRNA from 1 species